rnacentral:rRNA from 1 species
UACGUAGGGGGCUAGCGUUGUCCGGAAUCAUUGGGCGUAAAGCGCGUGUAGGCGGUCCGGUAAGUCCGCUGUGAAAGUCGGGGGCUCAACCCUCGAAUGCCGGUGGAUACUGUCGGGCUAGAGUGCGGAAGAGGCGAGUGGAAUUCCUGGUGUAGCGGUGAAAUGCGCAGAUAUCAGGAGGAACACCAGCAGCGAAGGCGGCGCUCUGGGCUGGAACUGACGCUGAGGAGCGAAAGCGUGGGUAGCAAACAGG